GCAGCAGGCGCGAAACCUUUACACUGCACGCCAGAGCGAUAAGGGGAUCCCAAGUGCGUAGGCAUAGAGCCUACGCUUUUGUCCACCCUAGGGUGGUGGACGAAUAAGGGCUGGGCAAGACCGGUGCCAGCCGCCGCGGUAAUACCGGCAGCCCGAGUGAUGGCCGAUCUUAUUGGGCCUAAAGCGUCCGUAGCUGGCCGCACAAGUCCAUCGGGAAAUCCACCUGCUCAACAGGUGGGCGUCCGGUGGAAACUGUGUGGCUUGGGACCGGAAGGCGCGACGGGUACGUCCGGGGUAGGAGUGAAAUCCCGUAAUCCUGGACGGACCGCCGAUGGCGAAAGCACGUCGCGAAAACGGAUCCGACAGUGAGGGACGAAAGCUAGGGUCUCGAACCGGAUUAGAUACCCGGGUAGUCCUAGCCGUAAACACUGCCUGCUAGGUGUGGCACCCACUACGAGUGGGUGCUGUGCCGUAGGGAAGCCGCUAAGCAGGCCGCCUGGGAAGUACGUCCGCAAGGAUGAAACUUAAAGGAAUUGGCGGGGGAGCACUACAACCGGAGGAGCCUGCGGUUUAAUUGGAGUCAACGCCGG
rnacentral:rRNA from 1 species